rnacentral:rRNA from 1 species
GAUGAACGCUAGCGGGAGGCUUAACACAUGCAAGUCGUGGGGCAGCACGGGGUAGCAAUAUCCUGGUGGCGACCGGCGCACGGGUGAGUAACGCGUAUGCAACCUACCCAGUACAGGGGGAUAGCCCGGAGAAAUUCGGAUUAAUACCCCAUAAUGAUAUUAAUAGGCAUCUUUUAAUAUUUAAAGCUACGGCGGUACUGGACGGGCAUGCGUAAGAUUAGCUAGUUGGUAGGGUAACGGCCUACCAAGGCUCCGAUCUUUAGGGGUCCUGAGAGCGUGAUCCCCCACACUGGGACUGAGACACGGACCAGACUCCUACGGGAGGCAGCAGUGAGGAAUAUUGGUCAAUGGGCGCAAGCUUGAACCAGCCAUCCCGCGUGAAGGAAGAAGGCGCUAUGCGUUGUAAACUUCUUUUCCGGAGGAAUAAAAUUUUGUACGAGUACAGGACUGAAGGUACUCCGGGAAUAAGCAUCGGCUAACUCCGUGCCAGCCGCCGCUGUAACAC